UACGAAGGGGGCUAGCGUUGCUCGGAAUUACUGGGCGUAAAGCGCACGUAGGCGGCUUUCUAAGUCGGGGGUGAAAUCCUGGAGCUCAACUCCAGAACUGCCUCGAUACUGGAGCUUGAGUCCGGGAGAGGUGAGUGGAACUGCGAGUGUAGAGGUGAAAUUCGUAGAUAUUCGCAAGAACACCAGUGGCGAAGGCGGCUCACUGGCCCGGAACUGACGCUGAGGUGCGAAAGCGUGGGGAGCAAACAGGGAU
rnacentral:rRNA from 1 species